rnacentral:lncRNA from 1 species
CAAGCUUUGGAGUCUACUCUUAUGCAUACAUUAGAACACAAAUGGAUGUAAAAAUCACAGCACAAAAAAACUUUGAAAAUAAAAUUAGAACUGAAGUUUGGGGGUGAUAUCGUUUUUACCUAAAGAUGGGGGAGUCCUGGACGAUCCGCCAUGGAUCUGGAACUUUUGGGUGUUGGUGCGCCUCCCUUGUUGUAGAUCCUUGUACUCUCGCAAAAAAAAAAAAUGUUGCAUGGAUGUGUUAGUUCUUUGAUUUUUCCAUGAUAAUAAACUUAAUGGAACUCCAUGGUAGCAAAAUGAGAUUUUUACCUUUGACUUAGGGGUUUCGCUACUGAGAUCCAGUGCAGAUGAUGGCUUCCAUGAACGGGACCAAGAGCCAUGGUGACAUGGAUUACAGUUUCAAAUCGAGAGAAAUGGAGGCAAAGGGUUUGUGUUGAACAUCAAUGAAGACUAGAUUGUCUAGAGUUAUGAAGACAUUUCUCAUAGUUGAUGGAGGAGUGGCUAUGGCUUCUACCAAGGGUUUGUGUUAAUUUGAGAAAGGGCUGAGAGAAAUGAGAAUACCUCUUUCGGUUUCUAGAGAGAGAAUGACAUAGGGUUUCUAAUUACACUCAGAAAUGAAUGUAAUGAGAGAAACCUAUGACUUUUCAUUUGGAAUCCUAGGGAGAUCAUUUUCCUGAUGCACGACACAUGUGCGCAUCCUAAGCUUCUUGGCUUACCGAGGACAUUGUGGACAUUCGCGGAAUGAAAGAGUCAUGUAGGCUCUGGGCUUAAGGUCAUCAAAAGCUGAAAUGAGAAUGGGUGUAACUGCUAGGGUUUUGCCAUAAAAUAGUAAAAUAAUCAAUUUUUGUAGGUUAUAACCACCAUAAACUACAACAACAACAACAAAGCCUUUUCCCACUAAGUGGGGUCGGCUAUAUGAAUCCUAGAACGCCAUUGCGCUCGGUUUUGUGUCAUGUCCUCCGUUAGAUCCAAGUACUCAAGUCUUUUCUUAGGGUCUCUUCCAAAGUUUUCCUAGGUCUUCCUCUACCCCUUCGGCCCUGAACCUCUGUCCCGUAAUCACAUUUUCGAACCGGAGCGUCAGUAGGCCUUCUUUGCACAUGUCCGAACCACCGGAACCGAUUUUCUCUCAUAUUUCCUUCAAUUUUGGCUACUCCUACUUUACCUCGGAUAUCCUCAUUCCCAAUCUUAUCCUUUCUCGUGUGCCCAUACAUCCCACGAAGCAUCCUCAUCUCCGCU